rnacentral:rRNA from 1 species
UGAAUACGAGACGCUAAGGCGUCGAAGUAGUGUAUGUCAUACUUCCAAGAAAAGCUUGCACUGUCAUAAAUAAAAAGUGCCUGUACCAUAACCGACACAGGUGGGUAGGUAGAGUAUACUAAGGGGCGCGAGAUAACUCUCUCUAAGGAACUCGGCAAAAUAACUCCGUAACUUCGGGAGAAGGAGUGCCUUAUUUAUAAGGUUGCAAUAACAAGAUCCAAGCAACUGUUUAUCAAAAACACAGGUCUCCGCUAAGUCGCAAGACGAUGUAUGGGGGCUGACGCCUGCCCAGUGCCAGAAGGUUGAAGAAGUUGGUUAGCACUUGCGAAGCUGAUAACUCAAGCCCUGGUGAACGGCGGCCGUAACGAUAACGGUCCUAAGGUAGCGAAAUUCCUUGUCGGGUAAGUUCCGACCCGCACGAAAGGCGUAAUGAUUUGGAUACUGUCUCGGAGAGGGGCUCGGUGAAAUAGACUUGUCUGUGAAGAUGCGGACUACCUGCACCAGGACAGAAAGACCCUAUGAAGCUUUACUGUAACUUGAAAUUGAAAUUGGACUUUAUUCGCGCAGUAUAGGUGGGAGGCGUUGAUUGUAAUCUUGCGGGAUUAUUGGAGCCAUCAGUGAGAUACCACUCUUGUAAUGUUAGAUUUCUAACUUUGUAUCAUUAUCUGGUCAAAGAACAGUUUCAGGCGGGCAGUUUGACUGGGGCGGUCGCCUCCUAAACGGUAACGGAGGCGUACAAAGGUUUCCUCUGAACGGUUAGAAAUCGUAUCUAGAGUGUAAAGGCAUAAGGAAGCUUGACUGUGAGACCUACAAGUCGAGCAGGGACGAAAGUCGGUCUUAGUGAUCUGACGGUACUGAGUGGAAAGGCCGUCACUCAACGGAUAAAAGUUACUCUAGGAUAACAGGCUGAUCUCCCCCAAGAGUUCACAUCGACGGGGAGGUUUGGCACCUCGAUGUCGGCUCAUCGCAUCCUGGGGCGGUAGUACGUCCCAAGGGUUGGGCUGUUCGCCCAUGAAAGCGGUACGCGAGCUGGGUUCAGAACGUCGUGAGACAGUUCGGUCCAUAUCCGGUGUAGGCGUUAGAAUAUUGAGAGGAGCCUUCUUUAGUACGAGAGGACCGAGAAGGACAUACCUCUGGUGUACCAGUUAUCGUGCCAACGGUAAACGCUGGGUAGCUAUGUAUGGAGUGGAUAACCGCUGAAAGCAUCUAAGUGGGAAGCCCACCUCAAGAUAAGUAUUCUC